GCUACGGGUGGCUGCAGUGGGGAAUAUUGGGCAAUGGGCGCAAGCCUGACCCAGCAACGCCGCGUGAAGGAAGAAGGCUUUCGGGUUGUAAACUUCUUUUCUGAGGGACGAAGAAAGUGACGGUACCUCAGGAAUAAGCCACGGCUAACUACGUUCCAGCAGCCGCGGUAAUACGUAGGUGGCAAGCAUUAUCCGGAUGUAUUGGGUGUAAAGGGCGUGUAGGCGGGAAAGCAAGUCAGAUGUGAAAACUCAGGGCUCAACCCUGAGCCUGCAUUUGAAACUGUUUUUCUUGAGUGCUGGAGAGGCAAUCGGAAUCCCGGGUGUAGCGGUGAAAGGCGUAGAUAUACGGAGGAACACCAGGGGCGAAGGCGGAUUGCUGGACAGUAACUGACGCUGAGGCGCGAAAGCGUGGGGAGCAAACAGGAUUAGAUACCCUAGUAGUC
rnacentral:rRNA from 1 species